rnacentral:rRNA from 1 species
GAUGAACGCUAGCUACAGGCUUAACACAUGCAAGUCGAGGGGUAACGAGAGGAAAGCUUGCUUUCCUUGUCGACGACCGGCGCACGGGUGAGUAACGCGUAUCCAACCUGCCCCCAACUAGGGAAUAACCUUGCGAAAGUAAGACUAAUACCCUAUAAUUUCCUCAGAUGACAUCUGACGAGGAAUAAAGAUUUAUCGGUUGUGGAUGGGGAUGCGUCUGAUUAGCUUGUUGGCGGGGUAACGGCCCACCAAGGCAACGAUCAGGAGGGGUUAUGAGAGGAAGGUCCCACACAGUGCAACUGAGACACGGUCCAAACUCCUACGGGAGGCAGCAGUGAGGAAUCUUGGUCACUGGACUAAAGCCUGAACCAGCCAAAUAGCGUGCAGGAUUAAGGCCCUAUGGGUUGUAAACUGUUUUUAUACAGGAAUAAAGUUAGCCACGUGUGGUUAUUUGUAGGUACUGUAUGAAUAAGGACCGGCUAAUUCCGUGCCACCCGCCGCAGUAA